GUCUAGGUCAUUCCCCGCAUUUCAUUAAUUAACUAACUCGUGCAUUUUACAAAUAUUUGCCGAGUGCUAAUAUGUGCCAGGCAUCAUGCUAGGUGCUGGAAUGUGUUGAUGACUGAGUCAGAUGUGGUCCUUGCUCUGUCUAGCGGGGGAGACAGUUACUAAACAUGACAAUGAAUGCAUCAUUAUAAAUUGUGAUAAGUGUUACGAAGAAAAGAACAGGCUGCUACGAGAAGACUUAGCAUAUAAGAGACUGUCAGAAUUUUUUGCUUGAUUGGUGCUGAAUAGAAAAACAUGCGCUUGAAGAGAUGGCCUGGUCAGUUCUCUCUCCUUUCAAAAAAGAAAAUGAGGCUUAGAGAUCUUACAUGAUUCACCUAAAGUCACACAGCUUCUAGCCAUCAACAGUAGCAUAAUUCAAUUGAAUUCAGUUAAUGGAAUUCAGUGGGGUGACUCCAAAGUCGGAUUGCCCUUGUUACAACAUUCACCUUUAUUUUCCAAUAAAUAAUCUCAUCUACAGUCAUCAAGUGUCUGUGUGUGACAACUUUAUAUGCAUGUUUUAAUGACUCACUCACCUAAAUGUGAUAUCCAUAAAUCAGGCAUAUUGAGUAAUGAAAAGGUGGCUCAAACAACAGUGACAGAAAUAAUUUUCAAAGACUUCAAAUUAUUUACCAAGCUAUUAUGUAUUCCUGCAGCCUUUCUUCCAUCUAUAGCCCCUUAGCCCUUCUGGAGGCUGAUGGGCGAUAUGCUUUGCUAUAGUCUUUUCCAGAUCAGUGCUGGAGCAUUUGUCCUCCUCCUGAACCCCAUGUGGCCGGAAGACGCCUGUCCCUGUCAGAAGGCUCUCUGCAGGAAGGCAGAAGGCUGACUCCAGCAUGUGCCAAGAGUUUAAUCGGAGUUUGGCGGAAAUUGGCCACUCAAUAUCGACAGCUGAUAUUGAGAAGUGGAUGGAUCAACACAACUGAAAGUGGUUUAGGGGCAAUACCAGGUGAGCAGUCGAUGGAGUUUCAGGUCACAAAGAAGCAAGGACUUGCACUGCUUUAAAAUAUCUCUAUCACUUUUUGUUCACUUAUGUUUAUAGUGAGCAAGGUGGUCAUAAGUUCUGGGACCUGGGAUUGAAUUCUGGCUCUUCCACCUCCAAGGAGGGUGACUUAGGCCCACGUGAAUCGGAAUCCUUGCUCUGUUCAGCUGGCUAAGGCGAGUCCCGCAAAGCGCUGGCCUCCAGGUGCUUCUGCCAGGCCUUGUGGUGCAAGGGCCCUGCCUCCUCCCGCUCCAGCAGCAGCCCUGGCGAUGCCCACUGCGUUUCUCAGCUCUGUUGGCAGUGGGGGCAGAAGAGGCUGCCUGAGGCCCCCUCCCAGCAAAAGCCGUGGCCACACCUGCAAUGACUGGGUUGCAGCUCUGAGCUGCAAGCAUUGGCUGUGGCCUGGAGACCAGCCACGGGAUGAGAGAAACGCUGUAGGAUCUGCAGGUUGUCUGGAGGGACUCGGGGUCCCUUGGUGAAAAGAGAAACCACUGCCCUUGAGUCAUAAGUAUGAUCAUCCUUUCUUUUAACAAAGGCACCUGGAGGGAUCUCUCAGGAGAAGAAACAUUCUCUAAUCACUCAGUAUCACACAGGUUUCUCUCCAGAGACCUCAGCCCAGCACCUCUGCAAGGGGAGAGAGGAGAGGCGUCCUUCAGCUCAUUUAUGCCUGUAUUGAUCGCUGCUGCCUCACCCUCGAUGUCGGUGGUUACCAUCCAGUACCUGUUCGAUCUGAUUCCCAUGCAACCAUGUUCUGGAAUUCCCUGAGCACUACUCCACCUGAAGAGCAGCCCCUGUCUCUCUCUGGACAGUAAUGAGGUUUCCUUUGCAGUCUCACACUGGCUUACUAUCCUUCAUCCCGCCAAGCAUCCCCCUGACUACAUUCAUUUCUCUCUAUGCCCGGGUUUAUUCAGCUGUGUUCUCCUCUGCUCUGUGGGCGACAGGAGACUGUCACAGCCCAGUUGGAAUUCACUUUAUCUUUCCCUCUGCCCUAUACGCUGAGCAAACAUGUGCAGUUGGCAUUUCAGCAGUGGAAAUUCUCUGACCCCCUUUGCUGUUGCCUAAAACAGAAACCUCAGUGGCUUUGCAGGAAAUAUUCCACAGUCUCCUGCAACCUAAAUUUGAUAGCUAUUUGUUGAAUAUACAUGAUAUGCCUCUUGCUGUUGUGCCCUCAAGAGGCUUAUGAAGCUGUUGGUGAAAUAAAACAGACACAUGUGAAACAAUUUGAAAACAGCAAAGCACGGUAUACCAUCAGUAUUAUCAUUAGGUGCCAAAAUGCGUGAUACUAAAAUACCAUCAUUAACACUAGUCAUAGAGCUGACACACACUGAGUACCCAGGCACAUCUCAUUUCAACCUCAUGACAAGCCCAUGAGGUGGGCAUUAUUGUCCCCAUUUUAUGCAUCAACAAACUGAGUCACAGAGAAUUUAAUUAGCCUAAGGUCUCUUGGCUGGUAAGACAACCCAGCUCUGUUCAACUCCAAAGUGUGUGCAUUCUCAGUUCUACUCUAUGCUCAACCACUGCCCUGCUUAGCUCCAUAAAGGUGGAGUCUAGGUGUUUUGCUUGUGGCUGUGUUCCAGAGCCAUUUUCCCAGUGCUUAGCAAAGGAAGGGCUCAAUUUAUAUAUAUGUGUGUAUGUACAUAUAUACAUAUUUGCAUGCUGCACCUCUUAUAUACAGAAAGAUCUAUAGGAAAAGCCAGACCAGCUAGAUCAAGUGGUCUGCUUUCUCGAGUCAGAUGUGGGACAAAUGUUGAGGGGUUUGGAGGAUUAUGAAGUCCAAGUUUGGCCAUCCCAGUAGUUGGUGGUGAUGGUGUAGGGUUUGCGUUUGAUCAUGAAGAGUGGAGAAAGAGAAAAGGAAACUAACACAUACAGAAACACACAUACACAUACGCAUGAAACAACAACAACAAAGCAAACCCCACAUACCCCAACACUGCUCCUCUUUUUGAGGUUCUAAAUCCAGUUCUUCCCCCUGGCCUCUUCCUGCCCUGCACAUAGCUCACCUGCCUUGGUGGGACCUGCCUGCUUUUAUGCUGCUUAAGUCUGAAUCACAAAACUGUGAGCCCCUGGAGAGCGGGGCAGGCUUAAUCCUAUUUUUUUUAAUCCCCUGAGAUGGGUUAGUCCUUUGCAGGCUAUAUUUGUUAAAAUGAAUUGAAAUCAGGAGUGUAAGACUUUUUUUUUGAAGGCUUUGUUUCUUUUUCUUGUCUGAUGCUUUUUGGGAAGUAGCAAUGCUGUAGAAAGGAAGAACAGUAGAGACACUCCUCGAUAGUUACAAGGGGAGAUGAAGCCUUGGGUCUGAUCUGUCCCACAUUAGAUUCCCAUUUGUAGAAGAAAAAAAGAGAAAGGAAUGAAGCUACAUCUCCCUCAUCAAGUUAGCCUGGGGGGUCUGCCGCAAAGAGGAUUGAAGGGGAAAUGUUCAAUUUUACCGCUUUGUUCUGCUGGGUUCUUCUCCCCAGGACACUGUUUAGUGCACUGAGUGAAGUAGAAAAUGAAGAGCAGGUGAGCAAUCAGCUGUGAAAAGCUUUAAUGGGCCCG
rnacentral:lncRNA from 1 species